GUGGGUAUAGCUCAGUGGGAGAGCACAUGCUUAGCAUGCAUGAGGUUCUGGGUUCAAUCCCCAGUGCCUCCA
rnacentral:tRNA from 1 species